GGAACCUGGUUGAUCCUGCCAGUAGUCAUACGCUUGUCUCAAAGAUUAAGCCAUGCAUGUCUAAGUAUAAACAAUUUUGUACUGUGAAACUGCGAAUGGCUCAUUAUAUCAGUUAUAGUCUACUCGAUAGUACCUUACUACUUGGAUAACCGUAGUAAUUCUAGAGCUAAUACAUGCGCAAAUACCCAACUGCU
rnacentral:rRNA from 1 species